rnacentral:rRNA from 1 species
AUAAUGGGUCAGCGACUUAUAUUCUGUAGCAAGGUUAACCGAAUAGGGGAGCCGAAGGGAAACCGAGUCUUAACUGGGCGUUAAGUUGCAGGGUAUAGACCCGAAACCCGGUGAUCUAGCCAUGGGCAGGUUGAAGGUUGGGUAACACUAACUGGAGGACCGAACCGACUAAUGUUGAAAAAUUAGCGGAUGACUUGUGGCUGGGGGUGAAAGGCCAAUCAAACCGGGAGAUAGCUGGUUCUCCCCGAAAGCUAUUUAGGUAGCGCCUCGUGAAUUCAUCUCCGGGGGUAGAGCACUGUUUCGGCAAGGGGGUCAUCCCGACUUACCAACCCGAUGCAAACUGCGAAUACCGGAGAAUGUUAUCACGGGAGACACACGGCGGGUGCUAACGUCCGUCGUGAAGAGGGAAACAACCCAGACCGCCAGCUAAGGUCCCAAAGUCAUGGUUAAGUGGGAAACGAUGUGGGAAGGCCCAGACAGCCAGGAUGUUGGCUUAGAAGCAGCCAUCAUUUAAAGAAAGCGUAAUAGCUCACUGGUCGAGUCGGCCUGCGCGGAAGAUGUAACGGGGCUAAACCAUGCACCGAAGCUGCGGCAGCGACGCUUAUGCGUUGUUGGGUAGGGGAGCGUUCUGUAAGCCUGUGAAGGUGUGCUGUG